GAUGAACGCUGGCGGCGUGCCUAAUACAUGCAAGUCGAGCGAACAGACGAGGAGCUUGCUCCUCUGACGUUAGCGGCGGACGGGUGAGUAACACGUGGAUAACCUACCUAUCAGACUGGGAUAACUUCGGGAAACCGGAGCUAAUACCGGAUAAUAUAUUGAACCGCAUGGUUCAAUAGUGAAAGACGGUUUUGCUGUCACUUAUAGAUGGAUCCGCGCCGCAUUAGGUAGUUGGUAAGGUAACGGCUUACCAAGGCGACGAUGCGUAGCCGACCUGAGAGGGUGAGCGGCCACACGGGAACUGAGACACGGUCAAGACUCCUACGGGAGGCAGCAGUAGGGAAUCUUCCGCAAUGGGCGAAAGCCUGACGGAGCAACGCCGCGUGAGUGAUGAAGGUCUUCGGAUCGUAAAACUCUGUUAUUAGGGAAGAACAAAUGUGUAAGUAACUAUGCACGUCUUGACGGUACCUAAUCAGAAAGCCACGGCUAACUACGUG
rnacentral:rRNA from 1 species